AUUGAACGCUGGCGGCGUGCCUAACACAUGCAAGUCGAGCGGUAACAGGUGUAGCAAUACAUGCUGACGAGCGGCGGACGGGUGAGUAACGCUUGGGAAUCUGCCUGUUAGUGGGGGACAACCCGGGGAAACUCGGGCUAAUACCGCAUACGCACUACGGUGGAAAGCCGGGGACCGCAAGGCCUGGCGCUAACAGAUGAGCCCAAGUCGGAUUAGCUAGUUGGUAGGGUAACGGCCUACCAAGGCGACGAUCCGUAACUGGUCUGAGAGGACGACCAGUCACACCGGAACUGAGACACGGUCCGGACUCCUACGGGAGGCAGCAGUGGGGAAUAUUGGACAAUGGGCGAAGGCCUGAUCCAGCGACGCCGCGUGGGUGAAGAAGGCCUGCGGGUUGUAAAGCCCUUUCGGUGGGGAAGAAAAGCUCGAGUUAAUACCUCGGGUCUUGACGUAACCCAUAGAAGAAGCACCGGCUAACUCCGUGCCAGCAGCCGCCGCUGUAAC
rnacentral:rRNA from 1 species